AUCUUCCAACAAAAGGAUGGGUCACGCCCACCCAGAGUGUAUGGCUGAGUAUUUUAAUGUUUGACGAUGUUCUGGUUGUAGUGACUAUUUGCUAUAAUACGCUCCCUGUACAUACUCCUCAAGAGCGGCUGUGGACAGAAGAUGAAUGGUUCCUUUGAAGGAGCGUUGAUAUUUGACCAACCUGAUGGCCUGCUCUCUCCAUGCAGUCCAGCCAGCCCCUCCGUUGUAGGCAGGAAGAGGCCAAGUGUAGGAGGGAGUGAUGACUUGAAUGAACCUGGAUACACAAAUGUUGGGGAAGCUAAGAGAGCAAGAAUGCAAUCAUCAAGUCUGUUUGCUACCGGACAUAGCGAUGCAGUGUUGGCACUCUCCAGGAUGGCCAACUUUGGCAGUUUUGAUGAUCCCCCGUCUGUUAGUCCUGCCCCACCACUUCCUUCGUUUAUAGAGGAUUGGCUGUCCACGUUCUCCUCUUGGACACACGAGCACAGGAUAGCUGGCCUCGACGCCAUUAUCCCACUGUGUGAUUCUGUUCAACUAAAGUGUCUCAUGGAGCAAAUACAACCACAGUUUCAAAGAGACUUCAUUUCAAUACUACCCAAAGAGCUUGCUCUGCAUGUAUUGCGAUUCCUGGCCCCCAGAGACCUCCUCGUGGCUGCUCAGACUUGCCGCACUUGGCACACCCUCUGUGAGGACUGCCUACUGUGGCGUGAGAAGUGUCGAGAGUGUGGUGUGGGGGAGUCAGGGCUGAGGGCCUCCAGGGCUAUCCUCAGUAACCCUUGGAAACAGAUGUACCUGACAAAGCAUCGUGUGGACCAUAACUGGCGACGUCUUGAGAUCAAUCCUCCCCACCGCCUCAAGACCCUCAAGAGUCACGAUGACCACGUGGUGACAUGUCUACAGUUCUCAGGGAACAGGGUUGUGAGUGGCUCCGAUGAUAACACUCUCAGUGUAUGGCACGCCAUCACUGGCAAGCAUCUUCGUCAGCUGACUGGGCACACUGGAGGAGUAUGGUGCUCACAGUUUGAUGGGUCUACAGUUGUCAGUGGCUCUACAGACAGAACACUGAGGGUUUGGGACAGUGAAAGUGGAGAAAGUAAACACGUUCUUCAUGGGCACACUUCCACUGUGAGGUGUAUAGCACUGCAAGGCAAUGUUGUUGUGAGUGGUUCCAGAGAUUCUACACUGCGUGUGUGGAACAUUGAGAGUGGAGAGUGCACUCAAACAUUGCUAGGUCAUGUGGCAGCUGUCAGAUGUGUUCAGUUUGAUGGACAUCGUGUAGUGAGUGGAGCGUAUGAUUACCUUGUGAAGGUGUGGGACCCAGUGGAGGGGGCGUGUCUACACACCCUCACAGGGCACACUAACAGGGUCUACUCUCUACAAUUUGAUGGUGUCCAUAUUGUGAGUGGGUCACUAGACACACACAUACGGGUCUGGAAUGCGAAUACUGGACAAUGCCUCCAUACCCUCAAAGGACACCAAUCCCUCACCAGCGGUAUGAUGCUCCGGAAGAAUAUUCUUGUGUCAGGAAAUGCUGACUCAACAGUCAAGGUGUGGGACAUCACUACAGGGCAGUGUCUGUACACUCUGCAAGGCCCUCACAAACACCUCAGUGCCGUCACUAGCCUAUAUACAGUUCACAGACAACUUUGUGGUGACCAGCAGCGAUGAUGGUACAGUGACCUCAAGACAGGGAUCGAAUUCAGACAGUGGUGGAAAUGGUGGAGUGGUCUGGCGUGUCAAGUGCUCUGAGCGCAAGCUUGUGUGUGCUGUGGGCAGCAGCAGAGGAGGUACGACAUCCGCAUGUCUUUAACACACACAUUCCUUAGGUCAAAGUUCGAAAUGUGUGUGUUAAAGACAUGCGGAUGACACGCGGAUGUCGUACAUCCUCUGGGGCAGCAGGAAUGGGAUCGAGGACACGAAACUGCUUGUACUUGGUUUCGAUGAUUAUCAAUCAAUGCUAUAAUUAGCAGUGUCUCUAUUCACUCAAAACUGCACAUAAUUAUAUAUUUUCUUCCCUGUGUAUAUGUAUAGGAUAUUAUAUGUACAGUUGUGUACAUGGCAUUGUUGAAGUGACA